UGUUUUUUUGUAAGUUAAUAAUACGUGAGACAAUUGAUUCUAUUUUAGGGAGAAUGAAUAUGAGAAAAAUCAGAGAUGAGAGAAACAAAUCAAAGAGGAGAAGGAAAGAGUGGGACAUAUAUAAGAAAGCUAGACGAAAAAGAGGUGAAAUGUGAACCUUACGCUCUUUUUAAGUAGUAUAGAGAAGAGAUAGAGAAGUAGAGAAAAUGUAAAACGUUUUCGCAGUUUAACUUAAACUCCAAAAAUGGCCAACAUUUGUUUAUGGAGGAGUGUUGGUUCGUGACUUUGUGUCUGCUUCAAUUUUUGUAACCUCUUUGUUUCUAUUUUUUGCGAGAAAACCUUUUUAUUCCUGUAUUACGACAAGGUACGAAAUAAGUUGACCGCAACCUAGUCCACUGUUCAAACAGCCAAGUUCGGCUUGAGUAACACAUAUCGUCUAGCUAAAAAAUUGGUUAGGAAGGCAAGCACAUUAGCAAAUUGGACAUUAGAAUGUCUCCCACAUUUUUUUCUUCAUUUCUUCUAUUACAACUCUACUAUAUUUAUGCCAUGACUUGAAAUUAUUGUGUACCACAUCUUAGCUAGGUUCUUGUCCCGGAAGUUCGAUGAAAUAAGAUAAGAUCAUGUGUUCUUCACAAGUAAGGGCAUACAAUUAGUCAACAAGGACAUUUUCGUUAAACCUCCCCGUUAUCUAGGAGAGACAAUAAUAAAUACUCUAUCAAAUAUGAAUAUAUUGUUAUGUUUUUUUCUCGCGAAUGCGUAAAGGUUGCGUAUCUUUUCAUUCUUAGUAGAAGAGUAGUAGCAUGGGGUUACAAACGCUUACAAGGCCAUGUGCGCAAUAGGCAUGGUAGAAAGCGCAGGGGCAGAAAAGAUCGAAGGGGUUGCUCAGCCCCAAAUAUAGCUAUAAACUAUGCGCCGGGGAUGAUGUUUUGUAGCCCGUUGGCGCCUGCCUUAGCUCAAAGGUGCGCCUCGUCCUUGACGGUGUCGGAGAUGAGUGUGACCGAUGGUCUGUCACCGUGGAAGAUGCAUACAUUAUUACGGUGUUUACAGAGCCACCACGCUACCACUAUGAUGAGUGAGGACAGACCCUUGCGCGUGGAGGCUGCGCGCGUGGUCGUAGGAAGUCGUCCACCAGGUGUGGAAGGGUGUGUCGCGGCUCGGUAGGUCGGCCGCGGCACGCACCCAACCAAGAACCUCCUACCAGACCUGUCUAGAGAAUGAGCAGCCUGACAGGAGAUGAUGUGUGGUCUCCGGCCUCUGGUCGCAAAGGGCACAUGCUGCCUCGUGAGGUAGACCGUGACGGGCGAGCCGCUCUGUCGUCCAACAACGGUCCUACAUGGUGAAAGAACAUGCAGUGCCCCCAUGUUUGGUUUUGGUAAUUGAUGUCAAUCUCUAUGGACUAAUGGUUGCCUUGAGUUAUAUUUGAAGGAUUUUUCCAUAGGCAUUUCUUGAAGUCCAUGUGUUGGUUUCAAGGAGUUUAUGUGGUGACCAAGGUAUUAUUAAGGAAUUAUCCAAAGAUUGGUCAUGUGAGAGUAGAACUUAUUGCAAGCAUGUCUUGAAGAAGAAGAUUGUGUGAUCAUUCAUGUUUACCUUCAAGACAUCAUCCAAAUGAAGAGAGUUGGAAAGAGUCAAGGUUGAUCAAGACUAAGUCAAGAGUGAAUCAAGUUGAUCAACACACAAAGCGCACAAGAUGUACCGAGAGGGAUCAAGCGAUCCCAUGGUGUGGUAAGCAUUGUCGAUUACGCUUUGUGUACUAACCCAUGAUCUUCGUGAGAGUUCUUUGUGGGGUUAGGUUGCGGUGUGCAAGUUCAAGUGAAGCAUCAUGAAGAGAUCAAAUGCUUGAAGCUUGCCGUCCAUUGUGGCGACAAUGGACUUGUGAAGAUGUUGCGGUGCGCAAGUUCAAGUGAAGCAUCAUGAAGAGAUCAAAUGCUUGAAGCUUGUCGUCCAUUGUGGUGACAAUGGACUUGUGAAGAUGUGCGGAAGAGUGGCUCACCCAUAGUGGAGUAUGGGGGAGCAAUCAACUAGUCUUCAUCGAGCCAACACAACAAGAAAGGUGGUCCAACUUGAGGGAGUCAAGAUCGUCAUCAUCUAGCUCAAGUGGACCAUGUGCAAGGCAAAGGUUUGCUCUUGAUAGGUUUUCUAUGUUACCGGUCUCAUGAUGGUAGUUGGGAGACCGGGUUAUAGGAUCGAUUGCCGUACUAUCAAGGGGGGCUCUCGAUGAGUAGCUUGAUCGUAUCGUUCAUAGAGAGCUCAAACCAUUGCAUCCUUGCAUCAUCUUUGUUGGUUCUUGUUUGGUUCUUCUCUUUGUGAGUUUUGGAGCUUAUGGUCAUCUUGAUGACAAGCUCGAGUUCAUCGAAAACGGAGUUCACUCGCAUCUUCUAUGAUGUUUUCGAUGUUGGAGGUUAUGCCGGUUCUUCUCGGUUGGAGGUUUCACUCCUCUAUUUUUUUGGCAUACCUCCCCUGCCUCUUCUUACUAUAACCGUCGCUGUUUUGAUGCUACUCGUCUUUCUCAAUCCAACAAGCUUGAGUUUGCUCAAUUCGGAGCUCAUAUGCAGAAGUUAUGACAGUUUUGGCUUCCUAGCGGUAGUACCGCGGCCAGAGCGGCAGUACCGCUUAUCGCCCCAAGCGGUAGUACCGCUGUCCAACGCGGUAGUACCGCCUAUGGCCAUAAGCGGUAGUACGGCUACAGUUCCGCGCUGGUACCGCCUCGAUUUUGGGUCUUGCAUUUUUCGUGUCGAGUUUUGCAGUAGUUGCACGGCAGUAAGGCACGACAGUUCCACCUAUAAGCGGUAGUACCGCCUAUAAGUGGUAGUACCGCUCCGGUCGGGCGGUAGUACCGCUACUGCAUUUUUGGUCCCGUGUUCUGCUCCUCCGGCGGUAGUACCGCUGGGGUGCGCGGUAGUACCGCUUAUAAGCGGUACUACCGCCCCAGGGUUCAUGUUUGGUUGCUCCUUUUCCCUGCUUCUUCCGCCAGAGCGGUAGUACCGCUCGUGGAGCGGUAGUACCGCUCGUGUGCGGGCUGAGCACAUAACGGUUGGAUUUUCCCCCUUCUAUAAAAGGGGGUCUUCUUCCCCAUUGAACCUUAUCCUUUGAGCUCAUGUUCUUCCCCCAUUGUUGACCUUCUUCGAGCUUGCUAACUCUCAAUCCCUCCAUGGAUUCUUGCUAGUUUUUGAGGGAAAAGAGAGAGGAGAUCUAGAUCCACAUUUCCACCAAUCUCUUUCUCCUCUAUGUGAGGGGAACCCAUUGGAUCUAGAUCUUGGAGUUCUUGGUGUUCUCCUUCUUGUUCUUCCUCUCAUUUUCCUCCCUAGCAUUAGUUGCUUCGGUGGGAUUUGAGAGAGAAGGACUUGGGCACUCCGUGUGCCCUUGCCAUUGCAUUUGGUGCAUAGGUUUGAGUUCUCCACGGUGAUACGUGGAAGUUACAAGUUGAGAAGCUUAUUACUCUUGGGUGCUUGGUGCCCUUGAGCUUGUUCCUCUUGGGUGCUUGGGCGCCCUAGACGGUUGGUGGUGUUCGGAGCUCAAUCAUUGUGGUGUAAAGCUCCGGGCAAGCGUCAGGGUCUCCAAUUAGGUUGUGGAGAUCGCCCCGAGCAAUUUGACGGGUACCGGUGACCGCCCCCAAGGGUUGCCAAAGUGUACGGGUUCGGUGACCGCCCCCAAGGGUUGCCAUUUGUACGGGUUCGGUGACCGCCCUCAAGGGUCCCUUAGUGGAAUCACGGCAUCUUGCAUUGUGCGAGGGCGUGAGGAGAUUACGGUGGCCCUAGUGGCUUCUUGGGGAGCAUUGUGCCUCCACACCGCUCCAAACGGAGAUUAGCAUCCGCAAGGGUGUGAACUUCGGGAUACAUCGCCGUCUCCGCGUGCCUCGGUUAUCUCUUACCCGAACCCUUUACUUAUGCACUUUACUUUGUGAUAGCCAUAUUGUUUCUUGUCAUAUAUCUUGCUAUCACUUAGUUGUUUAUCUUGCUUAGCAUAAGUUGUUGGUGCACAUAGGUGAGCCUAGUUGUUGUAGGUUUUGUGCCUGUCAAAUUAACCGCUAGGUUUAUUCCGCAUUUGUUCAAGCCUAAACCGUAAUUAUUUUAAAGCGCCUAUUCACCCCCCCCUCUAGGCGACAUCCACGAUCUUUCAAUUGGUAUCAGAGCCUCGUCUCUCUUUGUUAGGCUUAACCGCCUAGAGAGUAAGGAUGUCGACUAGGGGAUUAGGAUUCUCUGACACUCUUAGUUUCGAUGGCACAAAUUUUGAUGUUUGGGUAAUUCGCAUGCUUAAUCUCUUUAGGGUCAUGGACUCAAAUUUAGAGCGAAUUGUAGAUAUGGGUUUUUCUCCUCCAAAGGAUCCCCAAAGAUUAUCUUUAGAGGAUGAGAAAAACUCUUAUCUCAAUGCUCAAGCUUCUAAUGUGCUUUUCGAUGCUUUGAGCAAUGUAGUUAUAUUUCAACUCAUGCCGUUCCGGGAUGCUCAUGAGUUAUGGACAAAGCUUCAAGAUAAAUAUGGUGUGUCCAAGAUUUGUGGGGAUGAUUGUUCUCCCUCCACCUCCGGCCGUAUUGCCUUCUCAACUUCUUCUACUUCACCUAUAUGUGGAUUGCCACAAGGUAAUGUUAGGGUGAGUAGUGGUGGUCAUUGCAAUGAUGAUAGUGUGCUUGUUCUUGGUGAUUCUUCAUCACUAUCUUAUUGCAAUGGUCCUCCUUUGGACUUUAACACUUCGAGCACUCUAAAUGUUUCACAUGCUUGUGUUAAAAGUUCUUGCAUAUCAUGUAGAAAUUGCUUGCUCAAAUCUCAUGAUGAUAUGCUUGCUAUGUCUUGUUGCCAUGAUACAAAUGUAUCUAUUUCCUCGAGUUGUUGUGCUAACAAUGUAGAGGAAACCCAACACUCCAUGGAACAAUAUGUGGUCUUGAACGGUGCUUCAAGGGAUCCUACAUCAUCAUCGAUUGCUUUUUGCCUUAUGGCCAAGGCUUCAAAGGUAUCUCCCACUUUAAAUCCCAAUAUAUCUUGUGAUAAUAUUGAUGAUGGCAAGAGUGAUGAUGAUGUCGAUUUUGAUGAAGAGAAUGAUGAUGUUGCCUCCUUAAAAGUUAAGGGGGAAAUAAUUUUUAAAGCUCUUCUUAAGAAUAAAAUUGCUCGUUCCAACUUCAUGGAAAUCAUGUCUAUUGCUAUCGAGGGCAAGAAAUAUAUUGAUGAGUUGGAAUCUCGUCUUGAGGAGCAUGAGGUCACCAUUGAUAAAAUGGUAGGUCAUGAGCGUGAUUACGCUAAUGAGAUUGCGGACCUCUCUCAAGCUCUUGAACUUGAACAAACCACCAAGGAAUCUCUUGAGGAGACUUUUGCUCUAGAAUUAUCUAGAGUGAGGGAAUCUCGUGAUAGAGCUCUUGAGGUGGCCAAUGAUUUUGAAACUAAAAAUGAGGAGCUUGAAGUUGCGCAUGCUAAACUCCUUAAGGACUUUGAGCACCUCGAAAAUGGCUCAAGGGUCAUUGAGAGUGAGCUCAUCAAACUCACCGAGUCUUAUGCUCAACUUAAAGCUUCAUAUUCAAAAGAGCUUGUAAAGUUGCCUUCUCCUCUUGCUAUUAUUGAUGAUGCUUGUGCUACUAACUCUAUUACUUGUGAAGCAUCCAUUUUGAAGGAGAACGUUGAGCUACGGGCUCAACUUGAGUUGCUAUCUAGCAAUUAUGGGAAAUUGGAAGAAAGCCAUGAAAAGCUCUCAAGCUCUCAUGAUGAUCUUCUAGUAUCCCAUAAUGUGCUAAAGAUAGCUCAUGGGGCCAUGAUUGCUAAGGUAACAUCUAGUGAGCCUCAUGUGGAUACUAGCACUACUUCUAGUCAAAAUGCUAUAUUGCCAUGUGCUAGUCCUUGUAAUUCAUCUACUCACAAUAUUGGUACAUCUUGUGAUGAAUUGCUUUCCUUGCCUUGUUGCUCUAACGAUGAAGCUUAUACUUCCUCUAGUACUUGUGUUGAGACUAACCAUGUAGAGGAAAUCAAAGAGCUCAAGGCCCAAGUCACUUCUUUGAAGAAAGACUUGGAAAAGAGUCAUGAAGGGAAAUCUACACUCAACAACAUCUUGAGAGUGCAAAAAUCCCCCAAUGACAAAGGUGGACUUGGAUUCAACUCCAACAACAAGAAGAAGUCCAAGAUGAACAAAAAGAAGGGCCAAGAACAAGUCAAGAAUUCGGCCAAGAUUGUUUGCUUCAAGUGCAAAGUAGAAGGGCAUCAUGUAAAAUCUUGCCCAUUGAAGAAGAAGGCCAUUAGUAAUAAGCAACAAGGGAAGCGGCCACAAGUUCACUCUCACUCUCAACCUCAAGUUGAAGAAAGGCCUCUUCCCAAGAAAACUCAAGCUAAUGCUUCUCAAGUUGAGAAAUCAAGUGAGAAGAAAGUAAAGAGUAGGCGUUGCUACCUAUGUCGUGAAAAAGGUCACGUCGCUUCUUCAUGCACUAGUGGUAACUUAUCCAACCCAAUUAUUAUUGAUGAUGUCUAUUCUCUUGGGAAGGAUAAGGUUGGCAAUGUGUUUGCCAAAUUUGUUGGUACUCAAAGUGGUGUCAAGAAAAGAACCAUUUGGGUAGCCAAGCCUAUUGUGACUAACCUCUUAGGACCCAACUUGGUUGGGGACCAACUAGCUCAUACUUGAUCAAUAGGCGAUGUUGGAGGGCAUUGGAGACUUGGCUACAUUAUGAAGAAUUAAGGGGACUUCAUCAUUCUUAUUGUCUCAAGCCAAGUCAAUUGAAUCAUCAAGUUUAUAUCUUAUAUCCCAUGUGCCUCCUUGCGGUAACUUGUACUUAAAUUGCUUACAUUGAAAGUUACUUGCCCCCGUUGCAUGUUUUGGUUUUGUUCCUUGCAUGUGGUUGUAUAUGAUUGUGUCUCCAAAUUGCUUAUCUUGAGUAAUCAAGUAUAGGUAUGUUGGUUUGCACUUCAUGUACAUGUGUGUCGCUCGUUGAGCCUUUGUGCAUCUUGUUUGUAUCUUAGUUGGCUCUUGUGAGAGAUUAAUGGAAUAUCCCAUUAUGGGGGAGUGAUGUGCUUUGUGCACCUCACAAUCCUAUAAAUGAGUGUACAUGAGUAAUACCAUCUAGUAUUGAUAUUUCAAGAUUAUCUAGUUGCUAUGUGGUAUGCCUUCUCAUGAGAAAUUCAAAUUCUAAAUAGUCCAUUAAUUAUCUCUUGUUGGAUCCGUUUAUUUGCCUCUUGUUUAUCCUUAAUUGGUAUCACAUUAUGGGGGAGUAAUAUGCUAUGUGUAUAUUACUAGCCUAGAAAAUGUGUACAUUUGAGAUAUUGUCACCUAGAGUUGAUAUUGUAAAUUAUCUUGUUCCUAGGUGGCAUGUUAGCUCUACAAGUUGCAAUUUGCUUGUGUUUGGUGUGAAGAUGAUGUUGGAUAUCAUUGUUAUCUACCAACGGAAAUUAUUUCCAAGUACUUCUUGUCUUUUGACAAUUGGUACUCACUUAUGUGUGGUAGAGAUUAUUGAUCAUCUUCACGUUGGCGUUUGCUUUUGUUUUCCUUAUCUCUUGCCAAGUUUGUGUCAACUCCGAUUGCCUUCUGUGCCACUUGAGGAUCUUGUUGUUUUCUUGAUCAUGUCUAGUGUUUUCCUUGAUAUAGUGAACGUGGUGAUCCUACCUUGUGCAUUUUGUAUUCAAAUACAAAUUCUCUAUAAUGCACAACUCGUGGGGGAGCUAUCCUAUUUUCUAUAAAACACUAAACUUGUGAUCCAUUUUAAGUGUGUGUUGGUGGACGGCAAGCCGUUUCUUUUUGGUACUUGUGCCAUCAUGAAACUUUGUAGAGAGCUUGGUUUGUUUGGAACCAUCCUCUCUUUUGGGAGUUUGAUAUCAUUUUGUGGGUUCCAAUGGAUAUCUCAUUCCUUGAUGUAUCUUUUAAUGAUAUCUUUCAAGUGAUGAUUUCUCCAUUUGGUAUUCUUUUCACUUGGUAUUUCCUUGUAUUUUGGUAUCGGUUCUUGAAAGUCUUGAGCAUGCAUAUUAACUUCAUGUAGUUUCCUUGGCAUGCUUUCUCUCUUGACCCAAUAUAUAGGGGAAACUCCACCAAGUCUCAAAUUGGAUGAGAUGUGCAUGAAUUUCAUUUCCAUUUCUAUAUACACAUAUUUAUGUGGAGUUUUUCCUAUGUAUUGUUGGUGUUUCUAACUCUUUGGUCCCAAUGAGUUUGGGUACCAUUUUGUUUGUGUUGUUGUUCUAGGAACAAUUGGAGAUGCAUUGGAUGCUCGGCUCACUCACAAGGAAGGUGUUGUCACCAUGUGAUCUUUGGAGUCAAGCUAGGAUGAUCAAUGAACUACUUUGUACCUUCAAUUGGUAUCUACUACAUCCUUCCAAUGUCAACUCGGUAACAAGUAUCUUCAUAUACUUCAUGCACACAUUUCUUGUAUCAACCUUGUGUAGGUUGCAUCAUGGCAUGUUAUUCAUUCUCUCUUGUGAUACUUGUUUCCUUUCUCAAAGCAUCCCGACAAUGAUCUCUUGUUGCUAGUUGUUAUGUCUUUGAUGAUUGUGUGGUAGGAAUUCAUUUAUGUACAAUAAGACCAUAUCUAGCCAUGUGCUAUGCUUCCAAGCAAAUAUCUUAUUGGUAUAUCUAUGACUUCCUUUUGGAUAUCUUGUUCCUUCGUGUUGUAACUAUUUCGGGUGUACAUCCUUCUUUGUAGAUAUAUAUCAUCAUGAUCUCGUCUACCUAGAACCUUAUACACUUGAGGGAAAUUACAUCUCUAGAUGAUAUCCUUUCUUUCACGUCCACCUUGUCUUUCUUGUUAUUUCUUUGGUGGCUCCGUGAAAGCUUUUGCCUUGAGUGCAUGUCUUAUCUCGUUGCAUCUUGAUGCACUCCUGUGUGGUGAAGAUUAUUUUCCUCAUGCUUAUCUCUACGAGGCUUUUGCCAUCUUAAUUGGUAUCCCUCGUCUUGAUGAGGCAUUCAUCUUCUAUCUUCACCAUGGGUUGUCACAAGUGUUGGUUAUUCUUUUUGCAUUUUUAGUAUGCUUGUGAACCCUUUUGCUAGUUUGGUGUGUGUGGGGAGGACAUGUCAUGCACCUUGUAUCUCCACUAUCCAAGACUAUGUUGAUACUUAAUGCUCAUUCGUACAUUAGUCUUCUCAAGUGCUUUGCCAUGACUCACACACAUCAUUUUGGUUGAUCCUACUCUUAAGUUGCCUCUUUUAUAUGUUGCUCAACCAUUUGUUUGUUGCAAGUGCUAGGCUUUGUUUCCCACAUGCUCACUUGCACUUGUUGUGAGUUUCUAUUGAUUUUCGGGGAGUGAUGAUCCGAUUUUGUGCACUUGGUAUCCUAAUGCAAAUAUUGUAAGGAGUGCACAAAUCAUGGAGAGCUUCACUAGUGUCUUUAGAACACUAUGUUGCUAUCUUGCACUUGUCGUGAGGUUCUAUUGAUCUUGGGGGAGCUAUGAUCCUAUUUUAUGCACUUUGUAUCCAAAUACGAAUAUUCUUGUGUGCACAAAUCAUGGGGAGCUUCUCUAGUUUCUUUAGAACACUCUUUUGCUCAUAUCAUAAUAUCUUUUAUUCAUGUGGCAUGUAGGAUCAUUGGUCUAGUUGGCUCAAUUGAUAUCCGUUGAUUGCUUGCUUCAAUUUGCUUGCUUCAAUUGGUAUCUUUUGAUUGGUUGAUUGCGUGUUUCUCUCUUUGUUAUGUCUUUGUGGCAUAUCUAUCUUGUGCAAUCUUUGGGCCUCAAUAUAGUUUGUUUUCCUCCAUGUAUUUACCGUUGGACAUGUGUAUUGCAUUCCACUCUCUUGUUGAGAAAUACACAAUUUAUGUAGGAACACCUUUUAUAUUGGCCGUCUAAGCUUUUCACCCAUUUUGGCAAUCGAUGCCAAUGGGGGAGAAGUUUCAGAGAGUUUUGUGGAGAGAGUUUUGUGGAGAAGUCUUCAACGUUUUCUCCUUGCUUUGGUUUUGUUCCUAAGCAUUUGCAUCUCAUACGUAUGCAUUAUUGGUUGUUGCAUUACAUGUACGUAUGCAUUAUUGGUUGUUGCAUUACAUGGUGAUGCAUAAUUCCUUAUAUAAACUCUCUUGAAAGUGAUUGUCAUCAAUUACCAAAAUGGGGGAGAUUGAAAGAACAUGCGGUGCCCCCAUGUUUGGUUUUGGUAAUUGAUGUCAAUCUCUAUGGACUAAUGGUUGCCUUGAGUUAUAUUUGAAGGAUUUUUCCAUAGGCAUUUCUUGAAGUCCAUGUGUUGGUUUCAAGGAGUUUAUGUGGUGACCAAGGUAUUAUUAAGGAAUUAUCCAAAGAUUGGUCAUGUGAGAGUAGAACUUAUUGCAAGCAUGUCUUGAAGAAGAAGAUUGUGUGAUCAUUCAUGUUUACCUUCAAGACAUCAUCCAAAUGAAGAGAGUUGGAAAGAGUCAAGGUUGAUCAAGACUAAGUCAAGAGUGAAUCAAGUUGAUCAACACACAAAGCGCACAAGAUGUACCGAGAGGGAUCAAGCGAUCCCAUGGUGUGGUAAGCAUUGUCGAUUACGCUUUGUGUACUAACCCAUGAUCUUCGUGAGAGUUCUUUGUGGGGUUAGGUUGCGGUGUGCAAGUUCAAGUGAAGCAUCAUGAAGAGAUCAAAUGCUUGAAGCUUGCCGUCCAUUGUGGCGACAAUGGACUUGUGAAGAUGUUGCGGUGCGCAAGUUCAAGUGAAGCAUCAUGAAGAGAUCAAAUGCUUGAAGCUUGUCGUCCAUUGUGGUGACAAUGGACUUGUGAAGAUGUGCGGAAGAGUGGCUCACCCAUAGUGGAGUAUGGGGGAGCAAUCAACUAGUCUUCAUCGAGCCAACACAACAAGAAAGGUGGUCCAACUUGAGGGAGUCAAGAUCGUCAUCAUCUAGCUCAAGUGGACCAUGUGCAAGGCAAAGGUUUGCUCUUGAUAGGUUUUCUAUGUUACCGGUCUCAUGAUGGUAGUUGGGAGACCGGGUUAUAGGAUCGAUUGCCGUACUAUCAAGGGGGGCUCUCGAUGAGUAGCUUGAUCGUAUCGUUCAUAGAGAGCUCAAACCAUUGCAUCCUUGCAUCAUCUUUGUUGGUUCUUGUUUGGUUCUUCUCUUUGUGAGUUUUGGAGCUUAUGGUCAUCUUGAUGACAAGCUCGAGUUCAUCGAAAACGGAGUUCACUCGCAUCUUCUAUGAUGUUUUCGAUGUUGGAGGUUAUGCCGGUUCUUCUCGGUUGGAGGUUUCACUCCUCUAUUUUUUUGGCAUACCUCCCCUGCCUCUUCUUACUAUAACCGUCGUUGUUUUGAUGCUACUCGUCUUUCUCAAUCCAACAAGCUUGAGUUUGCUCAAUUCGGAGCUCAUAUGCAGAAGUUAUGACAGUUUUGGCUUCCUAGCGGUAGUACCGCGGCCAGAGCGGCAGUACCGCUUAUCGCCCCAAGCGGUAGUACCGCUGUCCAACGCGGUAGUACCGCCUAUGGCCAUAAGCGGUAGUACGGCUACGGUUCCGCGCUGGUACCGCCUCGAUUUUGGGUCUUGCAUUUUUCGUGUCGAGUUUUGCAGUAGUUGCACGGCAGUAAGGCACGGCAGUUCCACCUAUAAGCGGUAGUACCGCCUAUAAGCGGUAGUACCGCUCCGGUCGGGCGGUAGUACCGCUACUGCAUUUUUGGUCCCGUGUUCUGCUCCUCCGGCGGUAGUACCGCUGGGGUGCGCGGUAGUACCGCUUAUAAGCGGUACUACCGCCCCAGGGUUCAUGUUUGGUUGCUCCUUUUCCCUGCUUCUUCCGCCAGAGCGGUAGUACCGCUCGUGGAGCGGUAGUACCGCUCGUGUGCGGGCUGAGCACAUAACGGUUGGAUUUUCCCCCUUCUAUAAAAGGGGGUCUUCUUCCCCAUUGAACCUUAUCCUUUGAGCUCAUGUUCUUCCCCCAUUGUUGACCUUCUUCGAGCUUGCUAACUCUCAAUCCCUCCAUGGAUUCUUGCUAGUUUUUGAGGGAAAAGAGAGAGGAGAUCUAGAUCCACAUUUCCACCAAUCUCUUUCUCCUCUAUGUGAGGGGAACCCAUUGGAUCUAGAUCUUGGAGUUCUUGGUGUUCUCCUUCUUGUUCUUCCUCUCAUUUUCCUCCCUAGCAUUAGUUGCUUCGGUGGGAUUUGAGAGAGAAGGACUUGGGCACUCCGUGUGCCCUUGCCAUUGCAUUUGGUGCAUAGGUUUGAGUUCUCCACGGUGAUACGUGGAAGUUACAAGUUGAGAAGCUUAUUACUCUUGGGUGCUUGGUGCCCUUGAGCUUGUUCCUCUUGGGUGCUUGGGCGCCCUAGACGGUUGGUGGUGUUCGGAGCUCAAUCAUUGUGGUGUAAAGCUCCGGGCAAGCGUCAGGGUCUCCAAUUAGGUUGUGGAGAUCGCCCCGAGCAAUUUGACGGGUACCGGUGACCGCCCCCAAGGGUUGCCAAAGUGUACGGGUUCGGUGACCGCCCCCAAGGGUUGCCAUUUGUACGGGUUCGGUGACCGCCCUCAAGGGUCCCUUAGUGGAAUCACGGCAUCUUGCAUUGUGCGAGGGCGUGAGGAGAUUACGGUGGCCCUAGUGGCUUCUUGGGGAGCAUUGUGCCUCCACACCGCUCCAAACGGAGAUUAGCAUCCGCAAGGGUGUGAACUUCGGGAUACAUCGCCGUCUCCGCGUGCCUCGGUUAUCUCUUACCCGAACCCUUUACUUAUGCACUUUACUUUGUGAUAGCCAUAUUGUUUCUUGUCAUAUAUCUUGCUAUCACUUAGUUGUUUAUCUUGCUUAGCAUAAGUUGUUGGUGCACAUAGGUGAGCCUAGUUGUUGUAGGUUUUGUGCCUGUCAAAUUAACCGCUAGGUUUAUUCCGCAUUUGUUCAAGCCUAAACCGUAAUUAUUUUAAAGCGCCUAUUCACCCCCCCCUCUAGGCGACAUCCACGAUCUUUCACAUGGCCAGCCAGAGGAAGAACUUGACGCGAAGCGGCGCCCAGGGUCGCCAUGUGAGCCUCCAAUGUGGGUCCUCGCAAGUACCGAUUAAUAAUGCCUUGUAACAUGAGCUCGCCGAGUAUGUGGGGGAGGGGGUCCAGCGCCAUAUGAGCUUCUCUGGCUCAUCCGAGAGGUUGAUGUGGGGCACCUGAUGCCAGAGCACGAUGUAUUGCACCAAGACGUUGUCCCUAUCGAUUAAUCUUUGGGUGUCUUCUCACAUAAAUUGACAGGGAGUACCUUUUUCUCUUUUAGUAUUUUAUUAAUUUUUGCAUCUCCACAAUUAAUUGGUGGGGAGUAUUGUUUUCUUUUUGUGCUAUUUUGUAUCGGAAUAUCUUUUAGUGAUCUCUGUCAAUUAAUUUUGCAUGUCUGUAAAAUAAGUAAAUUGACAGGGAAUAUACUCAUUAUAUCUUUUAGUAUUUUGUAUUAGAAUAUCUUUUAGCUAUUACUUGUUUCCUUUUAAUAUUUUCUGUUGGAAUAUGUUUUAGUGAUUUCUAUCAAUCAAUUGCAUGUCUCUAAAAUAGAUCGUUAGGGAGUAGUACUUGUUAUCUUUUUAGUAUAUUCGGUUAGAAUAUCUUUGAGUGUUCUCUUAUCAAUUAAUUUUUGCAAUUCUUUAAAAUUAUGUGGCUGGUCAAAAUUUAGCUAGGAAAUGCAUGACUAGAAAUUUAGUGUUUCCUCCUCCGUUCCAAACUACUCUAAGUUCUAGGUUUGUCUGAAGUCAAACAUCCAUAGGUUUGACCAGGUCUGUAGAAAGAGAUGGUAACAUGUGCAACAAUAACUAUAUAAAGUAUGAGGAUAUGUAAUAUGAUGAAUCUUCUCUUUUUUUUUGCGAAAACUUUCGAUCUAUUCAUCUUCAAUCAUGGCAGUACAACAAACACAAAAAGAAAAAGAAAAAUUACAUAAUGAAACUAAUUUUAAGUUGAAGAUGCUGGUAUACUAUCUAUAAUCCAUGAGUUUGACCGAAUCUAAAGGUAUCAACAUCUACAACAUUGCCUACAUAAAGUAUGAAAAUAUAUAAUAUGAUGGAUAUAACAAAACCAAUAUGAGGUUGAUGUUUGUAUAUUUUUUAUAGAUAGGUCAUGAGAUGAAUCUUCAACUGUUUUAGAACGGAGAGAGUAUAAUAGGGUGAUCAUGUUUCCUAAAAUAAAUAAAUUGAAGAGGUCGCCCUAGUCUUCGUUAAGAAAAAUCAGUUAUGUAUAUGUCUUUCUUUGCUGUGAAUUCGAGGGGCAUCUUUGGCUCGGUGCAGCGCUUGUAGUGCAAAUGAGUGGUCCAUGGGCAUUGGCGUAGUUUUGUAAUUUUCGUGUUCCGGUGUUCGUAGUCAUGGAUCCGUUUUUAUGCUAUUAGCUAUUAUGUUGAUUCUUCUUCAAACAGGAACCACCGAUUUACAAAUUUUAUUAACCACUGAAUUUAGUGAGCGGCGUCAAAUCCUUGUAUGGAUUUGCUUUUUUCGCCUCUUUUGCCGUAAAAAUGCCUAUGGUACGAGUUCAUAUUUGGUUACCCGGAGCCCAUGUAAAGGUACCUACGGUUGGAUCGGUCAUCUUGGCAGGAAUUCUUUUAAAAUUGGGAAUCUAUGGGUUUUUGUUGGGUGGUUCACUGACCUAGAUGCAAUUUUCGUUAGUUUUAUGUUCUUUGUAUUGCCAUGGCAUGGUGAAUAGAUUAAAAAAAUCUUGUAAAAAAUUGAAAUAAAAAUAAAAAUCGGCAGUAAUAUUUGCGUGACUUUGUUUCCCCGCAAAAAAAAAAAUAUAUUUGCGUGACUUUGUUGAUGGUGGCAUCAUUUCGUUGUCCAGGUGCAAACGGAAGCGACGAAACAGACCUCCGGCCCGGAGAGUCGGCACGCACGUCUCUAUCCGCGCCUUCACGCGCACGGCCGCACUCGUGGAAUUCCACGCGCCCGCCCACGUAACCUUCUGGUUAUGGAUGGAGCCUUUGCAAACGUCGUUCCAGCGCCGCCGGGGAACCAAACCAGACGGCGGAGCGGAAUAUCUCCCACGCACGCACGCAGCGGGACACGUGGCGACGAGGUGGACAACGGGAGCUUCGGCGGUGGGAGAAAAGAAGAAGAAGCGGAGAGCUGGUCGGCAUCCUACAGCCUGUAGGUCGGCCGGGCCGACGGCCGACGACCACGAGAAAUCCUUGGAGAUCACACGCAAGUAAACUCGCUGGCAUCGGACGACCACGGCGACUCUAGCUAAGCGGCGGUGCUGACGCACGCACGGCUCAGGGAGGGGUACGUGGCCGUGCCGCGGUGUAUUAUAUUAGGACGUGUGCUGUGACUGUGAGCGCAGGGAAGAAGCAAAGGCAUGUCAAAUCGCAUGCCACGUCGAAUACCACCAUUUCCGCUCUUCGCUUCUUCCCGUAUGUUGCGAACAUGGAAAAGGAGUACGAGUAUUUGGAUGGAUGGAGGAGACCGGAAGCACGGCCGAACUGCCCAGAAGCAGCCAAGUUUUUCAUCUCCCCCCGCCCCCCCGGUUGUUUUAGUAGACCAUUUAUUUGAAAAGCUUCCGAUCUAUUCAUCUUUAAUUAUGAAAGUACAACAAACAUUACAAAAAUAAAUUAUAAUUACAUCCGUAGAUCAUCUGGCAAUGACUACAUACACUGAAGUGAGCCGAAGAUACGCCGUCGUCAUUGCGUCUCCCUCGCCGGAGUCUGAUGAAACAUGUUGUAGUAGACCAUUAGAAAGUCGUCGUGCUAAGACCAUAUAGGACCGGCGGACCAAAACAGCAACCACCGCCGAUGAAGAGACACGUAGAUUGAACUGAUCCAACCUGAAGAGCGAGAUCUGCCGGGACACACCUUCACAUGCCCUCCGACGAUACUAGACGCACAACCUGAACAGAAAUAGGCGGGGAUAAUCUUAUUUCAUUUCAGAAAAUCAUAGUCAUCUCGUGUUCCUGAACAUGACAUAAAUUCUAACAAAACUCAAACAAACUAAAAACGAAGUCAUCCCAUCGGCAAAGACCGGGAUUCACGUGCUCCCAUGGCUUUAAAGCUACGCCACAAAAAAUGAGGCAGAACGGCGACGUCAUCGACGAGAGGCAAGAAGUCUAGUCGCUUCGCUUGGGAGGAGAGACGAAGCGGAUUGGCUAACCCUAGUAAACCAUUCUUUUUACCCUGAGAGAACUGUGCGUGAACCGUGAAGUGAAGUGUGUGACAGGGAGGGGCCUUUGCACGAUUUUCUUUUAUUUGCCUUUGUAAGAUUCUGGAUGCAGUGCCCGACCAAAGCAAACACAGUUUUUUUUUGGCAAAGCAAACACAUUUUCCUUUUUCCGCAGAAGAAAAAACACUUCAUUUGAACCUUAGGUAAUACUCCCUCCGUCCCAAACAAAUCUAAGACAAGAAUUUUGGGACGGAGGGAGUAUCUGGUUCGGUGGAAAGGCAAACAUGCCUACCAUCAGCUAGUGAGGUCGCUGCUUUAGCUAGAUCUUAUGCUUCGAAGUUAGUUUCUCUCCCUUUAGGCUUUGUUUGAAUUAUCGUUUUGUCUCAAAUACCCUUGUAGAAAAGAAAUACAGAUCUUUGCCCAUCGUUUUGUUUUCGGCUGAAAAUCUGCUAGUGGCCAGUAAGACACACAUGUAAAAUAAAUACAACUGUAAGCGCGGCCUGAUGGAAAAUAUCAGCAUCCACCAAGGACCUGAACCUCUCUUUUUAUAUCUCUGAUGAUCGUGCUCGAGGGACCAAGAUAUCCCUCGAUCAGGUGGUUAGCAAUAGCCAUGCAAUCUGUGGUCACUUUGAUCCUUUGCAGGUAUAAAUCAACAGUCAGAUAGAAGGCCUCACAACUUCAGGAUCAACAAGACCUUCACAAACAAUAACAUAAGCCCCUAAAUAGUUGCCAUGAUCAUACCUACAAAUUGUUGCACUUGCACCCCUUCCUCAUGGCGAGAGAUAGUCACAUUAAUUUUGUUAACAUAAAAUGUUCGUAUAUGAUUAUGUAGUUAUGACUAACAUAUUAGGCUGUGUAGAUUGAUCCGUGGGGAUUAGCACGGCAAAAUCAUACUUCUUCUUUCCAAAUUGGUAUCAUAGCCAAGAGAUCACAAGUUCAAGACUCUACCAAUGAAGUAUUAAAAAAAGAUUCUACGGCCUACAUCAAUCCCACAUCUAAAAACUAAAAUAGCCUACACAUGCAAGGGAGGGUGGGGUGUGUGUGUGUGUNNNNNNNNNNNNNNNNNNNNNNNNNNNNNNNNNNNNNNNNNNNNNNNNNNNNNNNNNNNNNNNNNNNNNNNNNNNNNNNNNNNNNNNNNNNNNNNNNNNNNNNNNNNNNNNNNNNNNNNNNNNNNNNNNNNNNNNNNNNNNNNNNNNNNNNNNNNNNNNNNNNNNNNNNNNNNNNNNNNNNNNNNNNNNNNNNNNNNNNNNNNNUGAUACUUCCCUUUUCAUCUUUCGGCAAGGAGCUAUGGUCAUUUACAUGUUGGCUUAUGUUGAUGAUAUUGUCAUUGGCAGUGGACCCAUUUCUUUGCACUUUAGUUGGGUCCUUUACCAUCAAAGUUCUUGGCCGUCUCUCUUACUUCCUUCGGAUUGAAGCCAUCUACAAUUCAGGGGGAAUGGUACUUUCUCAGCACAAGUAUGUCGGUGAUCUUCUUCAUCGUGCACAUAUGGUGAAUUGCAAGGAGGUUUCUGCACCCAUGUCAGUCACCGACAACUUGGCAGCAGAUCUUGGUACUCCACUCACUAAUGAUGAUGCCUUCAGUUAUCGCAGUAUGGCUGGAGGUUGCAGUAUCUCACUCUUACUAGUUCUCAUAUUUCCUUUGUUGUCAACAUGGCAUGCUAAUAUUUGUCCAAACCUACCGAUGUGCAUUGGGAGGCUGUCAAGCACAUACUAAUGUAUAUCAAGGGUACCAUGGAACUGGACUCCACAUCAUCGGUCAAGCUCCACACUUCUUAGUGUUUUCACCGUUGCUGACUAUGCAGGGUAUGCCGACGACAGAUGCUUUACAAGUGGUUUUGUGGUCUUCCUCAGACCUAACCUGAUUUCAUGGAGCGCUUGAAAACAGCCCGCGGUGUCACGAUCUAGCACCAAGACAGAGUACAAGGCACUUGCAAGUGACGUAGCUGAUGCUACUUGGGUGCAAUAUGCUCUUCAGGAACUGGGAGGAUCCUUGCGACGACCACCGCUUUAUGGUGUGAUAAUUUGGGCGCCACCUACCUGAGUGCAAACCCAGUAUUUCAUGCAAGGAAGAAGCAUACUGAGGUGGAUUUCCACUUCGUAAGAGAAAAGAUGGCACAAGGAGCAUUGGAUGUUUGCUUUGUGUCCUCGAGUGAUCAAGUGGCAGAUGCUUUCACUAAACCUGCCGGAAAGAUCACGUUGGAAAAAUUACGACACAAUCUCAACCUUAUGGCCGGUUGAGACUGAGGGAGCGUUAACGUAAAUAUCAGUAUAUGAUAUUGUAGUUAUGGCUAACAGAUUGAUGAUUCUUUCCUAUUAGGCUGUGUAGAUUUAUCCCGAGGAUCGCAUGUAAUCUCUUGUUAUACUUGACAAUUAAGAUUGUCCACAUAUAAAUACAAGGCAACCCCUUGGAAGCACACCAAAAUCAUAUCUCUUGUUUCUAACUAAUUUUAGCCCAUCCAGCUGGUCCUUUGAGCCAUCUUCUUCCUUCCUUCCUAAGAGGCAAAGUGGAACCCUUCAUCUUCCUCACUUGAACAAGAUCCAAGUCAUCAAGAGAUUUUUUUUAUAAAAGCAUACAUAGACAACGGGCUUUGGAAAAUAUCUUCAUGGUUUGCCUUGCGCCUUGCCCACCAGAUGCCCCAUAGUGUCACUAGAACCUUCCAUAGUCAUCAGCCACAAUCUAGCAUAUUUAGUUCUACAUGAAAUGAUGUGUUUGACUAAAUAUUCCUCCAUCAACGCCCACACACACUUAGACAUAUGACACUCUAUAAGAGAAUGACGCCAAGAAUCAGCAACGUUGUUGCAUAUACAACAAACACUUGAGUUAGCAAUAUGCCUCGCAACCAAAGUGACCCCCGUCGGAAUUGAGUUCUUUGCUAGUCGCAAUGCAAAACUUCCGACCUUUGCCGGGUCAUUUGCCCUCUAGAGUUUCAACCACUAAUUUUGUGAUCCCCUAGUAUCAGAAAUAUUCGGGCAACCCUCCAACCAAUCUCCCCUUCUCCGCUUUGUGUCAACAAGAAGCCGAUAGGUUGAUCUCACUGGAAAAUUACCCGAGCGCUCAUAGUGCCAUGCCAACAGUCUCCCAUUGUCCUAGAACUCAGCGAAAUAUUAAGAAUGGUAUGUGCAUCCAUGGGGCAAAGAUGUUCAUUCACUGGUUCGUGAUUCCAUCUCCUUGAAGGACCAUUGAUGAGUGACGACACCAGCUUCGACGGAUCAGAAGAUAUCGGGUAUAGCGUCUGCAUCAUAUAGUCCCUUGGCAACCAAUUUUGAUUCCAUAUGUUAGUGGUCUCACCAUCUCCAAUACAACAUAUCAGACCUCGUUUAAGCACUGCCAAACCUGCAUGAACAACACGACAUACUUGUGAGGGAUGGCUCCCAAGCUCACAAUCAAGCACAUUCACUAACAGGAAAUAGGUCGCCUUUAAAAUCCUUGCACUCAAAGAAGAUGGAUCCUACAAAAUUAGUCACCCUUGUUUUGCCAAUAUGGCCAGGUUGAACAACUCAAUAUCACGGAAGUCGAGACCCCAUGUACUUUGGCAUCUUCAACUCUUCCAGACCCAUGCAGCCUUUCUCUUCCCGUUUUAGCAUCCCCAAUAAAAUUUCCUAAUCAUUGAGCAAACAUAGUUGCUUUGCGUCAAAUAGUUUUUUUAGCGGAUUUUACGUCAAAUAGUAGGGUGACGCACACGGGCGACCACAGCUGGGCUGUCCAUUUCAGAGUAAGCUGCUGGAGCGAGCAUGUCCAUUUUGACAGCUCGGUUUUUUUACUUGUUCUGUUUUUUUCUAGUUUUUGGUCGGCUUACCAGAAAAAAAAAACAUGAAUGUUUUGGGAAAAAUUAUGAACAUCUUUGUUGAAUGCUCUUGCUUCUUUUUUUUUGGAAAUUUCGCAUAUUUUUAAGAAAUCAACAUUUUCUAAAAUUUAUGAACAUUUUUUAAUUCCAUUUUUUAAUUUGUGAACAUUUAAAAAUGUCUAAAUACUUAAAAACGUGAUUAUUUUUUUGAAUUUUCAGUAACGUUUUUCAAAGAUAAAAUGAAACAGAAGCUAAUUGGGCCGGCCCAUCCUAGCGCUUACCUGUGCCUUUGUGCGAUAAUUUGACGCAGUAAGGAAUGCCACGUCGUUAUCCUCAGAGACGUUCGUUGGGUUUUCCAAACGGCCUGUGCUGCUCCUGUUUUGCUUAGCAUGGAUCCUCUCAUCUCAGAAAAAUGAAAACAAACCCCUAAAAAAAGAACGGCUUAAACGCACCAAAUGUAGAACGAGAUUUUUUUUAAUAAAAAAAGUAGUAGUGCUCCAUGAAACAAAGACACGAAACCACAUGUACAUUUUUACACAGGUUCCAGUUGCAGCAAACGGAUGUACAAUUCUACAGAGAAUCCGUGUUCACUAACCAGACAGCAGACCACAUACACGUAGUACAAGGAUCAACAGCACACCACCGCAGAGCCUCUCUCCCUGAGCUAAAUAAGGCUCCGCACAUCUUAUUAUUACCACUCGUGUAACGCCACCAUAGGAUCCAAGGAGAAGUUUGCUGCAAGUGGAACGAACGCCCAGCUCCAAGC
rnacentral:lncRNA from 1 species